CAGAUAGUAGUUUAAAAUAAAAAUACUGGCAUUGGAAGCUAGAGAUCAAAUUUUUUGUUGUCUGA
rnacentral:tRNA from 1 species